CUACGGGAGGCUGCAGUGAGGAAUUUUGCGCAAUGGGGGAAACCCUGACGCAGCAACGCCGCGUGAGUGAUGAAGGCUUUCGGGUCGUAAAGCUCUGUCAAGUGGGAAGAACCUAUCUGAUGUUAAUACCAUUAGAUACUGACGGUACCACUGAAGGAAGCACCGGCUAACUCCGUGCCAGCAGCCGCGGUAAUACGGGGGGUGCAAGCGUUAUUCGGAAUCAUUGGGCGUAAAGAGCACGUAGGCGGUUUCAUAAGUCAGAUGUGAAAGCCCGGGGCUUAACCCCGGAAGUGCAUUUGAAACUAUGAGACUUGAGUAUGGGAGAGGGAAGUGGAAUUCCUGGUGUAGAGGUGAAAUUCGUAGAUAUCAGGAGGAACACCGGUGGCGAAGGCGACUUCCUGGACCAAUACUGACGCUGAGGUGCGAAGGCGUGGGUAGCAAACAGGAUUAGAUACCCUCGUAGUC
rnacentral:rRNA from 1 species